AUUGAACGCUGGCGGCAGGCCUAACACAUGCAAGUCGAGCGGAUGAAGGGAGCUUGCUCCUGGAUUCAGCGGCGGACGGGUGAGUAAUGCCUAGGAAUCUGCCUGGUAGUGGGGGAUAACGUCCGGAAACGGGCGCUAAUACCGCAUACGGCCUGAGGGAGAAAGGGGGGGAUCUUCGGACCUCACGCUAUCAGGUGAGCCUAGGUCGGAUUAGCUAGUUGGUGGGGUAAAGGCCUACCAAGGCGACGAUCCGUAACUGGUCUGAGAGGAUGAUCAGUCACACUGGAACUGAGACACGGUCCAGACUCCUACGGGAGGCAGCAGUGGGGAAUAUUGGACAAUGGGCGAAAGCCUGAUCCAGCCAUGCCGCGUGUGUGAAGAAGGUCUUCGGAUUGUAAAGCACUUUAAGUUGGGAGGAAGGGCAGUAAGUUAAUACCUUGCUGUUUUGACGUUACCAACAGAAUAAGCACCGGCUAACUUCGUG
rnacentral:rRNA from 1 species